rnacentral:rRNA from 1 species
UACGUAGGGUGCAAGCGUUGUCCGGAAUUAUUGGGCGUAAAGAGCUCGUAGGCGGUUUGUCGCGUCUGCUGUGAAAACCGGAGGCUCAACCUCCGGCCUGCAGUGGGUACGGGCAGACUAGAGUGCGGUAGGGGAGAUUGGAAUUCCUGGUGUAGCGGUGGAAUGCGCAGAUAUCAGGAAGAACACCCGUGGCGAAGGCGGCUCUCUGGGACGGUACUGACGCUGAGACGCGAAAGCGUGGGGAGCGAACAGG